rnacentral:lncRNA from 1 species
UUGCACUUAUGUAUCAAAAUCUCUAUUAGUUCAAAUGAAUACUGUGCAUUUAUUUAUCCAUAAAGAGAUGCAGUUCCCCUAAAACAGAGUUGUAGUUCUGAGUGUUUUCAAAUGUGAGUGCCUGUGCAACUGCAUACAGACUCCAAAUACAGACGUGUGUGAGAUGCAUAUCUUUUAACACAGACUUUUAAUCUUCUUCAACAAACUCUUAGCUCCAGUUAAUUUCAUAAAAGCAAUACAUCAAUAUUCUCACUUACUCUCUGCAUAUAUACAUAUGCAUACACACAUAUGUAUGCAUAUACAUAUACACGUAUGUAUGCGUAUACAUAUAGAUAUACACACACACACACACAAACAGGAGAGCCUGUUGCUCUUUGCCCAGUACCUUGCAGUAUGUUUUGCUUGCUUGCUUGCUUGUUCUGUUUCAGACAAAAAUGUCAAGACCUUUUUCUCCAUCACAUGUUCACAAAGGCACCGACAAGCUCUAGACAGCACAGGCUGGUACCUGAACCAACCGUGCCAGGCCCUGUGGUCACUAAGUAGAAGGCAACCUUUAACACUUGGUUUGAGAGAGGAAAAGGGUUUUGGUAGGUACAGAGGCAUCUUAGCAAAAAGUUAAGGCUUGAGAAUCUGGUGGCUUAUCAGGCAGAUUUCCACAAAUACAAACCUCAUUGUGGGUGUAUUGUGAAAUAUCACAUAACUGUCUAGGAAAGUCCCCAAUAAAUUUCUCCGAUGUCUCAGAAGACAACACUCCCAGUCUAGCAGAGAAAUUUUAACAGUAGAAACUAUGUUUAUUUCAAAAUACCAAAUCUCGGCUUUACUAAAACCAGUGUAAAUUUCCUAGGGACUUCGAAUCCUCUCCACAGAAAGUAUGCUGUAUUCUCUGGCUGCCUAAAAAAUACCGUGUCACACACAAAAUAGGAACUGUGCGAUGAGAUAUUCAAAACGGUAUUGGACAAACACUGUGUAGGCUGUGAAGAACAUGCUCCUUGUGUUCCCAGAAAUGGUCCAUGAAAGUUUCACCAUUGAGUGGAAACCGAGCUGUUUUCCAGCUCCAAUGUGUGAACCUUUCUUCUAUGGCUCUAGCAUGAAACAGGAACUGUAUUCAACGGCAUUUGAGACCC